AGCAGCCGCGGUAAUUCCAGCUCCAAUAGCGUAUAUUAAAGUUGUUGCAGUUAAAAAGCUCGUAGUUGAAUUUCGGGGUUAGUAGGUUGGUCAUGCCUCUGGUAUGUACUGGUCUCACUGAUUCCUCCCUCUUGAAGAACUGUAAUGCCAUUAAUUUGGUGUUGCAGGGAAUCAGGACUGUUACUUUGAAAAAUUAGAGUGUUUAAAGCAGGCUUUAGCUUGAAUACAUUAGCAUGGAAUAAUGAAAUAGGACGUUCGAUCCUAUUUUGUUGGUUUCUAGGAUUGACGUAAUGAUUAAUAGGGAUAGUUGGGGGCAUUAGUAUUCAAUUGUCAGAGGUGAAAUUCUUGGAUUUUAUUGAAGACUAACUACUGCGAAAGCAUUUUGCCAAGGAUGUUUUCAUUAAUCAAGAACGAAAGUUAGGGGAUCGAAGACGAUCAGAUACCGUCGUAGUACUUAACCAUAAACUAAUG
rnacentral:rRNA from 1 species